rnacentral:miRNA from 1 species
UCCUCAGGUCCCUGUUUGGGCGCCAACUGUCGGAGUCAGAGAGUUUUCCGAUGAACCAUGGGCAGAGGAGAAGCCA